UACGGAGGGAGCUAGCGUUGUUCGGAAUUACUGGGCGUAAAGCGCGCGUAGGUGGCUUUGUAAGUUAGAGGUGAAAGCCCGGGGCUCAACCCCGGAACUGCCUUUAAAACUGCAUCGCUUGAAUCCGGGAGAGGUGAGUGGAAUUCCGAGUGUAGAGGUGAAAUUCGUAGAUAUUCGGAAGAACACCAGUGGCGAAGGCGACUUACUGGACACAUAUUGACGCUGAGGUGCGAAAGCGUGGGGAGCAAACAGG
rnacentral:rRNA from 1 species